rnacentral:rRNA from 1 species
UACGGAGGGUGCAAGCGUUAUCCGGAUUCACUGGGUUUAAAGGGUGCGUAGGCGGUUUGUCGCAUCGGGAGUGAAAACCAUGGGCUUAACUCAUGGCUUGCUUUCGAUACGGGCAGACUAGAGGUAUGCAGGGGAGAACGGAAUUCCUGGUGUAGCGGUGAAAUGCGCAGAUAUCAGGAGGAACACCUGAGGCGAAGGCGGGUUGCUAGGCUGACACUGACGCUGAGGCGCGAAAGCUAGGGUAGCAAACGGG